AUACUUACCUGGGUUGACAGAUCCCAUGGUUAAGAAGCUGGCUUUCUCAGGAAGAAGUGCAUCCAUUACCUUUUAGAUGUGCUGACACUGUGAUUUCCACUAUUGGAGAAAACUUAACUUGAUAAUUUGUGGUAGUAGGGUACGGUAAUCAUGCUCUCUUCUA